rnacentral:rRNA from 1 species
UGCGCAGGCGGAAACUUAAGUCAGUGGUGAAAUCUCACAGCUCAACUGUGAAACUGCCAUUGAAACUGAUUUUCUUGAAUACGGUUGAGGUAGGCGGAAUACGUUAUGUAGCGGUGAAAUGCUUAGAUAUAACGUAGAACACCGAUUGCGAAGGCAGCUUACUAAACCGUUAUUGACGCUGAGGCACGAAAGCGUGGGGAGCGAACAGGAUUAGAUACCCUGUAGUCC